rnacentral:rRNA from 1 species
CACAAGCGGUGGAUCAUGUUGCUUAAUUCGAUGAUACGCGAAGAACCUUACCAGGUCUUGACAUCCCUUGCAAAGCUAUGGAGACAUAGUGGAGGUUAUCAAGGAGACAGGUGGUGCAUGGUUGUCGUCAGCUCGUGUCGUGAGAUGUUGGGUUAAGUCCCGCAACGAGCGCAACCCUCGCCUCUAGUUGCCAGCAUUCGGUUGGGCACUCUAGAGGGACUGCCGGCGACAAGUCGGAGGAAGUGGGAUGACGUCAAAUCAUCAUGCCCCUUAUGACCUGGGCUACACACGUGCUACAAUGGGCGGUACAAAGGGCUGCGAACCCGCGAGGGGGAGCGAAUCCCAAAAAGCCGCUCUCAGUUCGGAUUGCAGGCUGCAACUCGCCUGCAUGAAGCCGGAAUCGCUAGUAAUCGCGGAUCAGCAUGCCGCGGUGAAUACGUUCCCGGGCCUU